rnacentral:tRNA from 1 species
GGAGCUGUAGCUCAGUGGCAGAGCACUUGCCUUGCAUGCGUGAGGCACUGGGUUCGGUCCUCAGCGCCA